UACGAAGGGGGCUAGCGUUGCUCGGAAUCACUGGGCGUAAAGGGUGCGUAGGCGGGUCUUUAAGUCAGGGUGAAAUCCUGGAGCUCAACUCCAGAACUGCCUUUGAUACUGGAGGAUCUUGAGUUCGGGAGAGGUGAGUGGAACUGCGAGUGUAGAGGUGAAAUUCGUAGAUAUUCGCAAGAACACCAGUGGCGAAGGCGGCUCACUGGCCCGAUACUGACGCUGAGGCACGGAAAGCGUGGGGAGCAACAGG
rnacentral:rRNA from 1 species